rnacentral:rRNA from 1 species
CACGUAGGGUGCGAGCGUUGUCCGGAAUUAUUGGGCGUAAAGAGCUCGUAGGCGGUGUGUCGCGUCGGCCGUGAAAACUUGCAGCUUAACUGUGGGCGUGCGGUCGAUACGGGCAUCACUGGAGUUCGGCAGGGGAGACUGGAAUUCCUGGUGUAGCGGUGAAAUGCGCAGAUAUCAGGAAGAACACCCGUGGCGAAGGCGGCUCUCUGGGACGGUACUGACGCUGAGGAGCGAAAGCGUGGGGAGCGAACAGG